AAUGUUCUUCACUGAACAUUCUUUUAUUGGCAUUCUUCAGCCUAAGUUAAAGAACUAAUGCAUCAACUGCCUGACAUAGGUGACAUGCACAUUAACCAGCGAUACUACAACGCGGGGUAUGUUAAAAGGUUCAAAUCGGCAACGACAGUACCACUCUCUGCAGUCUGCACUGCCUUCAUAGAGACUAUGAACACAGGACGGCGGCUCUUUUUACAGGUUCACGGCAAAACAGAACGCUUCUCCUUGCUUUAC
rnacentral:lncRNA from 1 species